UCAGGAGGGACCAGUGUGGCUCAGCGAGGUGGCUGAGUUUACUUAAGGUAUUGGAAUGAG
ensembl:miRNA MIR4302 microRNA 4302